rnacentral:rRNA from 1 species
GAUGAACGCUGGCGGCGUGCCUAAUACAUGCAAGUAGAACGCUGAAGGAGGAGCUUGCUCUUCUGGAUGAGUUGCGAACGGGUGAGUAACGCGUAGGUAACCUGCCUGGUAGCGGGGGAUAACUAUUGGAAACGAUAGCUAAUACCGCAUGACAACAGUUAUCGCAUGAUAACUGUUUAAAAGGGGCAACUGCUCCACUACCAGAUGGACCUGCGUUGUAUUAGCUAGUUGGUGAGGUAACGGCUCACCAAGGCGACGAUACAUAGCCGACCUGAGAGGGUGAUCGGCCACACUGGGACUGAGACACGGCCCAGACUCCUACGGGAGGCAGCAGUAGGGAAUCUUCGGCAAUGGACGGAAGUCUGACCGAGCAACGCCGCGUGAGUGAAGAAGGUUUUCGGAUCGUAAAGCUCUGUUGUAAGAGAAGAACGAGUGUGAGAGUGGAAAGUUCACACUGUGACGGUAUCUUACCAGAAAGGGACGGCUAACUACGUG